UGUCUACUAGUUGUCGGGGAUUAAUUUCCUUGGUAACGCAGCUAACGCGUGAAGUAGACCGCCUGGGGAGUACGGUCGCAAGAUUAAAACUCAAAGGAAUUGACGGGGACCCGCACAAGCGGUGGAUGAUGUGGAUUAAUUCGAUGCAACGCGAAAAACCUUACCUACGCUUGACAUGUCCGGAACCCUGAAGAGAUUUGGGGGUGCUCGAAAGAGAGCCGGAACACAGGUGCUGCAUGGCUGUCGUCAG
rnacentral:rRNA from 1 species